UUUGACAGCUUGUUCGGAAGCAUAGCAACAACGAUGCUGAGGAUGACCUGCCGAGUGUGAUGACUUGCGCUAACUAUCUCAAGUUACCUGCCUACUGUUCGAAGGAAAGGAUGAGGGAGAAACUACUGUACGCAAUUACGGAAGGCCAGGGAUCCUUCCACCUAUCUUGAUUGGAAACCAGUAGCAACGCGCGCCACACGCAGUAGAAGUUUGUGCGUGCUUUGUAAGUAUUAUCACGUAGGGGGAAAACAUAGCGUAGAAGUGGGAGGCUCGCUGCUUAACUUAUGGUGCGUUUCGGCGGAGCUGAUGUUAGGAGGGGAAGAAAACAGAGGACGCCCCGCCCGUCCUAUCUAUCCUUGCUUGUACAUAGUGGUAGAACAGGUAGAAGCCUUUAGGCGUGUGUGCUCCCAAGUGGUCUCGCACAUGGCGACCGCAAUCAACUUACCUCGCUGCUAUUUAUGUGGUCAUAUUUUGCUGUACAUAUACGUGGCCGCAAGUGCUAUUGCUAUCUACCUAUAUAUAUCGUUCUGAGCUGGUGUUCUUAGCACA